UACGAAGGGGGCUAGCGUUGCUCGGAAUCACUGGGCGUAAAGCGCACGUAGGCGGCUUUUUAAGUCAGGGGUGAAAUCCUGGAGCUCAACUCCAGAACUGCCUUUGAUACUGGGAAGCUCGAGUCCGGGAGAGGUGAGUGGAACUCCGAGUGUAGAGGUGAAAUUCGUAGAUAUUCGCAAGAACACCAGUGGCGAAGGCGGCAUCCUGGACCGGUAUUGACGCUGAGGCGCGAAAGCCAGGGGAGCAAACGGG
rnacentral:rRNA from 1 species